GCCUAGGUGGCUGGUGGUCUUCGGCAGCUUCUGGUCUGGAUCCUUGAGCCGAGGCAUCUCUUCUUAAGAGCUGGCAAAAGCUGAUGGUGUCAGUAAGCAGGCUGCAGGAGACAGGACAUAAGGUUGCAGCUUGGAGCAUUCGGCAGCAGGAGGUGGACAGGCUGAGCAGGAAAGGCCACCUGCAGCCACAGCUCCACACUCGAAUUAAACAGUAGCGCUGUGCACGCACCCCACCUUCCCAGAGGGCCCCUGGUCCCAUGGUCAGCCCUUGCCCUUUGUCCCGAGUGAUCUCCUCACAGGCGUGGGAUUGAGGAGUCAGGAAGCACUGGAGACUUCUCACCUCUGCAGGAGCGAAAGCAGUCCCCUGUCAUCCUUCCCUCUCUUCCUGCUGUAGCCUCUGUAAGCUAGAAAUACAGAUGGGGUGAUUGUGGGUAAAGGAGAGAACUGAGAGCCUACGGGAGCCUGAAUGCAAUGUCCCUUCUGUGGAAAUGAUCAACUAAACAGGAGCUCAAGCUUUGCUGAAUGAGGACACAGGCCCCAAAGCACUAAGUGCUGGGCACAUGUGGGAUAGGACCUGACCAUAGACCGGAGGCUUCCAUUUCCGCCGAGCUCCAUGGACUUCAUAAUGUCCCUGUGGAGAGGAGGGAGGUCCAGUGUAGUGGAAGAGGAAAGUGUCUUAGAGAAGUGAAGUAACCCAUUUGCCUGCAGACGCAUGCAGCAUGUUUCUGGUCCGACCCACACCACCCUCCUGACCGCAGCCAACCAUGGUCGUCCCUGGCUUUAUUCUGAGCGCAGCACCUCGGCAAUGUCUUCACUUCUGAUUCCUUCCAUGCAGCCACAGCCGCAUGGUCUGCAACUCAUUUGUGUGGACGGUCUCCGUGAGACCCACCACGGAUGUCAUUGGUCAGUGUUCUUUCACCUCAGUAAGCUGAAGCUCAGCUCCGAACUGCCUUGUCAUUUCCUGAGGCCAGAUGUGACUCAAGUCCUGAUCCUAUGUCCAGGAGUGCAUCACCCUCUUCACAUGAGCUCAGCUGACCAAGACAAUGUUGUGUGAGCAUUAAUGUGAGGAGGGGGACAGAGGAACCAGUGUUCAGAACGUUUCUUAGUGGAGCCUAUCCAUCCCAGGUCCACAGUUCCGUGACCACUGAGACAUAGUGCUUCUUUCUGCUCUAGGAGGUCUGAGAGCAGAUAUCACGCAGCCCUCUCUCCCCGUCCUACCCGUGAGUUCUCAUGCGGAUGUGGUUCCCGUCUGCUGAGAUGCCCUGUCCGCCACCUCCCUAUUGGAUUUGGAAAGUGUUGCCCUAAUAGAGAAGGCUGUGUUGGUG
rnacentral:lncRNA from 1 species